GGUGAGGUAACCAACAGAGACAGAGGGUGAGGUAACCAACAGAGACAGAGGGAGACAGUGGGUGAGGUAACAAACAGAGACAGAGGGAGACAGUGGGUGAGGUAACAAACAGAGACAGAGGGAGACAGUGGGUGAGGUAACAAACAGAGACAGGGGGAGACAGUGGGUGAGGUAACUAACAGAGACAGGGGGAGACAGAGUGGAGACAAACAGAGACAGGGGGGAGACAGAGGGGAGACAACAGAGACAGGGGGAGACAGUGGGUGAGGUAACUAACAGAGACAGGGGAGACAGUGGGUGAGGUAACUAACAGA